AGUGAACGCUGGCGGUAUGCCUAACACAUGCAAGUCGAACGGCAGCACAGUAAGUUCUUGCUCUUACCGGUUGCGGGUGGCGGACGGGUGAGGAAUACAUCGUAAUCUACUUUUUCGUGUGGGAUAACGUAGGUAAACUUACUCUAAUACCGCAUACGACCUACGGUGGAAAUCAGGGGAGCUUUUUACCUUUCGCGUUUGAUCGCGCCGAUGUCGCGUUAGGUAGUUGGCGUGGCAAAGGCCGACCAAGGCGACGAUCCGUAGCUGGGCUGAGAGGAUGAGCAGCCACGAGAGAGCUGAGACACGGUCCAGACUCCUACGGGAGGCAGCAGUGGGGAAUAUGGGACAAUGGGCGAAAGCCUGAUAAAGCGAUACAGCGUGAGUGAAGAAGGCCGUCGGGUUGUAAAGCCCUUUUGUUGGGAAAGAAAAGCAGCAGGUUAAUAACCCGCUGUUCUGACGGUACCUAAAGAAUAAGCACCGGCUAACUUCGUG
rnacentral:rRNA from 1 species